rnacentral:rRNA from 1 species
CCUACGGGUGGCUGCAGUGGGGAAUAUUGCACAAUGGGCGCAAGCCUGAUGCAGCCAUGCCGCGUGUGUGAAGAAGGCCUUCGGGUUGUAAAGCACUUUCAGCGGGGAGGAAGGCGGUGAGGUUAAUAACCUCAUCGAUUGACGUUACCCGCAGAAGAAGCACCGGCUAACUCCGUGCCAGCAGCCGCGGUAAUACGGAGGGUGCAAGCGUUAAUCGGAAUUACUGGGCGUAAAGCGCACGCAGGCGGUCUGUCAAGUCGGAUGUGAAAUCCCCGGGCUCAACCUGGGAACUGCAUUCGAAACUGGCAGGCUAGAGGCUUGUAGAGGGGGGUAGAAUUCCAGGUGUAGCGGUGAAAUGCGUAGAGAUCUGGAGGAAUACCGGUGGCGAAGGCGGCCCCCUGGACAAAGACUGACGCUCAGGUGCGAAAGCGUGGGGAGCAAACAGGAUUAGAUACCCUUGUAGUC